AUGCAGCUCUUCGUCUGCGUCCAAGAGCUGCACACCCUCGAGGUGACCAACCAGGAGACGGUCGCCCAGAUCAAGGCUCAGGUGGCCAAGCUGGAGGGCAUCGCCCCAGAAGAUCAGGUUGUGCUCCUAGUGGGCUCACCGCUGGAGGAUGAGACCACCCUGGGCUAGUGUGGGGUGGAGGCCCUGGCCACCCUGGAAGUGGCCGGCCUCAUGCUCGGAGGCAAAGUCCAUGGUUCCCUUGCCCGUGCUGGGAAAGUGAGAGGUCAGACUCCUAAGGUGGCCAAACAAGAGAAGAAGAAGAAGAAGACUGGCCAGACCAAGCGGAAAAUGCAGUACAACUGGCAUUUCGUCAAUGUUGUGCCCACCUUUAGCAAGAAGAAGGGCCCUAAUGCCAACUCCUAA